ACCACGAACUCACAACAAUAAAGCUCCACAGAUUUCAGAGCCACCGUCGGAUCCCUGGCUUCGUCCCCCCAUUACAAAGCCCCACUCUCUCAAUGAACUACAGGGAGUCACCGCUUCAUGCCACGACUCCUAAUAAUUGCCAAACCCAAGCUGUGAUGGACAGCAAGGGGAAAAGCUCACGACAGAGCAUCCCCAGCUGAGCAAAACCUGCUACCCUGGACACAGUUUGCUUCUGAGAACAAUCAGAAAGACCAGGUUAUGGCUGGGAGACACAAUUUUGCAGAGAGUUAAUGAGCUAAACACUUCAUGGUGUGGGAGAUGCCAGUCGAUGCCACGGUGCGAGAGUUGCUGACUGUAACGUUAUUCUUCCUUCGACAAAUAUCCAGACGCUGGGUCUGUGGAUUCACCGUGCAUUUCUACGCGAUCUGGUUGUGUCAUUUAUAUUUUCUCUAACCCGCCCACCACCCUCUCCGAACGUGACGCUCCCUUGUACCGGUUGAACUCGGCCCCGUAUGAGGCCCCUUCCUCUCUCUCGGGACGCAGACAAGACAAAAACGGUCUCCGCCGCCAUCAAACCUGUCCCCAGGCCUGUGUGAGAACCUGCACCUGCCCAGCCGCGAAAUGGAGGUGUUACCUUGGAGCCAGUUUAACAUAACGUCCCUCACCUGUCGCAGCUGCCCCACCGCACAGCCCGCUCGCCUGCACUCCCGGCUCGACCCAGAGAGAGAGCGGAGGCCUCAUACCCGGGACACGAACUCCUCCAAGGCACCAGAAAUUACUCAUCCAGCCCCUGGUUAAAUAUUUCUGGGUAGUUUCUCAGAAAUCACAUGUGAGAUAUGCAAUUUGUAAAAAGUCUUCUUGUGUUGAGGCCAAGUCUUCUAACCGUUGUCCGCCGGCCCUAAUCUUAUUUUUCAGAAUUAACCGAAUAACCCUUACUCGGAAGCAGACGUUGAGUAAGGAUUUUUGUGCUGGUGAUUUAUGACGGCGAUGCU